rnacentral:rRNA from 1 species
AUUGAACGCUGGCGGCAUGCCUUACACAUGCAAGUCGAACGGUAACGGGCCUUCGGGUGCCGACGAGUGGCGAACGGGUGAGUAAUACAUCGGAACGUGCCCGAUCGUGGGGGAUAACGAGGCGAAAGCUUUGCUAAUACCGCAUACGAUCUACGGAUGAAAGCAGGGGACCGCAAGGCCUUGCGCGGACGGAGCGGCCGAUGGCAGAUUAGGUAGUUGGUGGGAUAAAAGCUUACCAAGCCGACGAUCUGUAGCUGGUCUGAGAGGAUGAUCAGCCACACUGGGACUGAGACACGGCCCAGACUCCUACGGGAGGCAGCAGUGGGGAAUUUUGGACAAUGGGCGCAAGCCUGAUCCAGCCAUGCCACGUGCAGGAUGAAGGCCUUCGGGUUGUAAACUGCUUUUGUACGGAACGAAAAGCCUUCUUUUAAUACAGGAGGGUCAUGACGGUACCGUAAGAAUAAGCACCGGCUAACUACGUG